GAUGAAGAACGUAGUGAAAUGCGAUAACUAAUGUGAAUUGCAGAAUUCAGUGAAUCAUCGAAUCUUUGAACGCACAUUGCGCCCCUUGGUAUCCCGAGGGGCAUGCCUGUUCGAGCGUCAUUUCACCACUCAAGCCUGGCUUGGUGUUGGGCGACGUCCUCUUUGGGGACGCGCCUCGAAACGCUCGGCGGCGUGGCACCGGCUUUAAGCGUAGCAGAAUCUUUCGCUUUGGAAGUCGGGGCCCCGUCUGCCGGAAGACCUGCUCGCAAGGUUGACCUCGGAUCAGGCAGGGAUACCCGCUGAACUUAAGCAUAUCAAUAAGCGGAGGA
rnacentral:misc_RNA from 1 species